rnacentral:rRNA from 1 species
AGAGUUUGAUCAUGGCUCAGAAUCAACGCUGGCGGCGCGCUUAACACAUGCAAGUCGCACGAGAAAGUGGAGCAAUCCAUGAGUACAGUGGCGUACGGGUGAGUAACACGUGGGUAAUCUACCUCUUAGUGGGGAAUAACUCUGGGAAACCGGAGCUAAUACCGCAUAAGCCUGGAAAGGGAAAGCAGCAAUGCGCUGAGAGAGGAGCCCGCGGCCGAUUAGCUAGUUGGUAGGGUAAAGGCCUACCAAGGCAAUGAUCGGUAGCCGGCCUGAGAGGGCACACGGCCACACUGGCACUGAAACACGGGCCAGACUCCUACGGGAGGCAGCAGUGGGGAAUCUUGCACAAUGGGGGAAACCCUGAUGCAGCGACGCCGCGUGAGCGAUGAAGCCCUUCGGGGUGUAAAGCUCUUUCGGCAGGAACGAUAAUGACGGUACCUGAAGAAGAAGCUGCGGCUAACUACGUGCCAGCAGCCGCGGUAAUACGUAGGCAGCAAGCGUUGUUCGGAGUUACUGGGCGUAAAGAGUGUGUAGGCUGUUCUCUAAGUUUGGUGUGAAAUCUCCCGGCUCAACUGGGAGGGUGCGCCGAAAACUGGAGGGCUCGAGUAUGGGAGAGGAAAGCGGAAUUCCUGGUGUAGCGGUGAAAUGCGUAGAUAUCAGGAGGAACACCUGCGGUGUAGACAGCUUUCUGGACCAUCACUGACGCUGAGACACGAAAGCGUGGGUAGCAAACAGGAUUAGAUACCCUAGUAGUCC